GUGCUCGCUUCGGCAGCACAUACACUAAAAUUGGAACGAUACAGAGAAGAUGAACAUGGCCCCUGCGCAAGGAUGACACGCAAAUUCGUGAAGUGUUCCAUAUUUUU
ensembl:snRNA U6 U6 spliceosomal RNA